AGUGAGUGUUGUUUUCAUUUCCUUAGUAUGUUUCGGUUGGUUCUUUUUUUGUUUUUUUGGUUUUUUUUUUCGCAGAAAACCACGUGACACUUAGAUUGGCUAGUUGAAGUAGCAUUCGAUCCUUGACGAGAUAAACCAGCGUCCGGUGAAAUGACCAGGAAUUGUUCUUUGCUGUACGGGUUCUGGAGUCGCUGGAGUCAAGUGCUUGGAGACGGCUAACAUCAUGCGUGGGAAAACCACGUGACACUUAGAUUGGCUAGUUGAAGUAGCAUUCGAUCCUUGACGAGAUAAACCAGCGUCCGGUGAAAUGACCAGGAAUUGUUCUUUGCUGUACGGGUUCUGGAGUCGCUGGAGUCAAGUGCUUGCAGACGGCUAACUGCAUGCGGGGGGGUGAGAGAAUCCUAACAUUUAUUUCAUAUCUGAUUCUAAAAUCUAUCAGUUUUGCUAAGACUUGC